rnacentral:rRNA from 1 species
UACGUAGGGUGCAAGCGUUGUCCGGAAUUAUUGGGCGUAAAGGGCGCGUAGGCGGCUGCACAAGUCAAAGGUGAAAUCCCCUCGGCUCAACUGAGGAACUGCCUUUGAAACUGUGCGGCUUGAGGCCGGGAGGGGGUAGCGGAAUUCCCAGUGUAGCGGUGAAAUGCGUAGAUAUUGGGAGGAACACCAGUGGCGAAGGCGGCUACCUGGACCGGUUCUGACGCUGAGGCGCGAAAGCGUGGGUAGCAAACAGG